AUUAUGCCAAUCUGGCCAACAGGAAGCUAAUUUCUAUUCUGUAUUUUGUCAGAUGUGCAGAAUACAUAUGGUCAUCAUUGAAAAUAGGUGAAAGAUCUGCUCUAAUAUGGACACUAAGUGGUGCUGGAGGAUGAUCCUGACCCACAAUGAGCAGUGGGAACACCAGAGCCCUGUAGGGAUGGCUGGCAAGCUAACACAUUGAGCAUGCACAGCUCAGUAAAUUUCCUGUGAAUACACAUCUCCUGAGAUCUCUCUAUUUAAUUGGAGGUGAUCCUGUCCACCUAAUACAGCACAUCAUGUGGAAUAACAAAAGCUACCUGCAGGAGCUGUGGUGAUGACUCACAGGAUAGAGCAUCUGCUGCUCUCUCAGAAGAACCACAUGGACCAUAACAAUUGGGUGCUUCCUACACAAGAAGUCACAUGACCACAGAGUGUCAUUUGUCAAACAACCAAGAACUUGUUCAAAACUCUACAGAGCAUCCAAUCUAUCAUGUGGAUAUGCAAUAAUGAGUGUCCAAAGGAUAUAUCCACAGACAUGUUUGCCCGUCUUUGUAGGUGCUUUGGGAGAGUUGAUGUUGAUAGAGAAGAGUCUAGAGUGAAGCAAACGAAACCUAAAGAGGCCUGCAGACAGACGUCAUCCCCUGAAAAUGUCCUAAACAAGGUGCAGGCCAACGAGGAAGAGGAGAGGCUGAAUAGAGAACUGGAGCUAACUACCAAGGAGAGAAAUGAGCUGACAGAUCGCCUCCUUUAUGUGACAGGUGGAUCCAUGAGCAAGA
ensembl:lncRNA